AUGAACGCUGGCGGCGUGCCUAAUACAUGCAAGUCGAGCGAACAGACGAGGAGCUUGCUCCUCUGACGUUAGCGGCGGACGGGUGAGUAACACGUGGAUAACCUACCUAUAAGACUGGGAUAACUUCGGGAAACCGGAGCUAAUACCGGAUAAUAUAUUGAACCGCAUGGUUCAAUAGUGAAAGACGGUUUUGCUGUCACUUAUAGAUGGAUCCGCGCCGCAUUAGCUAGUUGGUAAGGUAACGGCUUACCAAGGCGACGAUGCGUAGCCGACCUGAGAGGGUGAUCGGCCACACUGGAACUGAGACACGGUCCAGACUCCUACGGGAGGUAGCAGUAGGGAAUCUUCCGCAAUGGGCGAAAGCCUGACGGAGCAACGCCGCGUGAGUGAUGAAGGUCUUCGGAUCGUAAAACUCUGUUAUUAGGGAAGAACAAAUGUGUAAGUAACUAUGCACGUCUUGACGGUACCUAAUCAGAAAGCCACGGCUAACUACGUG
rnacentral:rRNA from 1 species